GAUGAACGCUGGCGGCGUGCCUAAUACAUGCAAGUCGAGCGAACAGACGAGGAGCUUGCUCCUCUGACGUUAGCGGCGGACGGGUGAGUAACACGUGGAUAACCUACCUAUAAGACUGGGAUAACUUCGGGAAACCGGAGCUAAUACCGGAUAACAUGUUGAACCGCAUGGUUCAACAGUGAAAGACGGUCUUGCUGUCACUUAUAGAUGGAUCCGCGCCGCAUUAGCUAGUUGGUAAGGUAACGGCUUACCAAGGCAACGAUGCGUAGCCGACCUGAGAGGGUGAUCGGCCACACUGGAACUGAGACACGGUCCAGACUCCUACGGGAGGCAGCAGUAGGGAAUCUUCCGCAAUGGGCGAAAGCCUGACGGAGCAACGCCGCGUGAGUGAAGAAGGUCUUCGGAUCGUAAAACUCUGUUAUUAGGGAAGAACAAAUGUGUAAGUACCUAUGCACGUCUUGACGGUACCUAAUCAGAAAGCCACGGCUAACUACGUG
rnacentral:rRNA from 1 species